AGCCCGUGGGAUAUGUGUUUGUUGGCUAAUAAAAAACUCACAUUGCCCUCAGAGCAUAAUUUAGACACCAAUUAUGGUGAAAGACAAUGUGACCUAUCGACGAUGACAAGUUAUCCGACGACCCCAAGAAUUUGAGCUGGGUUAAGAGAUACCCAUCAAUUUCGCUAGCAAUUGGAUGUGAACUCAAAAUGGCAGAAACUUUCCCAUAGAAGCCAGGUUAACUUUGAUUGGUCAGCUCCCUUGGCUUAGAAUACUUGGCUUGCAGAAACAAAUGAUGCGUCGGACUAUCCCACUUCAACAGCAGUAGAGUUCUUCGCUACGCUUUAGUUAUACUUGAAAGAUUGUGCUAUAAGCGAAUAAAUGAC